rnacentral:rRNA from 1 species
CAGUAGCCGCGGUAAUACGUAGGUGGCAAGCGUUGUCCGGAAUUAUUGGGCGUAAAGGGCUCGCAGGCGGUUUCUUAAGUCUGAUGUGAAAGCCCCCGGCUCAACCGGGGAGGGUCAUUGGAAACUGGGAAACUUGAGUGCUGAAGAGGAGAGUGGAAUUCCACGUGUAGCGGUGAAAUGCGUAGAGAUGUGGAGGAACACCAGUGGCGAAGGCGACUCUCUGGUCUGUAACUGACGCUGAGGAGCGAAAGCGUGGGGAGCGAACAGGAUUAGAUACCCGGGUAGUCCCUGUCUCUUAUAC